GACGUAGGGUGCGAGCGUUGUCCGGAUUUAUUGGGCGUAAAGAGCUCGUAGGCGGCUCGUCGCGUCGACCGUGAAAACCCGCGGCUUAACUGCGGGCUUGCGGUUGAUACGGGCGGGCUAGAGUUCGGUAGGGGAGACUGGAAUUCCUGGUGUAGCGGUGAAAUGCGCAGAUAUCAGGAGGAACACCGGUGGCGAAGGCGCCACUCUGGGCCGGUACUGACGCUGAGGAGCGAAAGCGUGGGAGCGAACAGG
rnacentral:rRNA from 1 species